CCUACGGGAGGCAGCAGUGGGGAAUAUUGCACAAUGGGGGAAACCCUGAUGCAGCGACGCCGCGUGAGUGAAGAAGUAUCUCGGUACGUAAAGCUCUAUCAGCAGGGAAGAAAAUGACGGUACCUGACUAAGAAGCCCCGGCUAACUACGUGCCAGCAGCCGCGGUAAUACGUAGGGGGCAAGCGUUAUCCGGGUUUACUGGGUGUAAAGGGAUCGGAGACGGCAGCACAAGUCUGGGGGGAAAUCCUGGGGCUUAACCCCAGAACUGUUUUGGACACUGUGCGGCUGGAGUGCAGGAGGGGUAAGUGGAAUUCCUAGUGUAGCGGUGAAAUGCGUAGAUAUUAGGAGGAACACCGGUGGCGAAGGCAGCUUACUGGACUGGAACUGACAUUGAGGCUCGAAAGCGUGGGGAGCAAACAGGAUUAGAUACCCGGGUAGUC
rnacentral:rRNA from 1 species